rnacentral:lncRNA from 1 species
GAGUCUAAUCAAGAGAUGAAUCAACUAAAUCCUAACUUUAUAAGUUAGGAUUAGUUAAAGUUUAAACUCUAAGUGUAUGUAUUAGAGUUUAAUUUAAUGAACUCUAAGUAUAUAUAUUAGAGCUCAAUUGAUUUGAUCGGGUGAAACCUUGUAUAUGGUUUGAUCAAUUCUAAUUAAAUAUUUUAGAAUUUGAUCGAGUUUGAAUAUGUCAAGAUUUAGCUCUAGUUAUAUAUGCUAGAGAAAAGGUUUGAUAUGGGCUCAUUUGGAUUGGAAUUAAUUGGGUUGGGUUCGGCUUGGAUCAAUUUGGAUAAAUAAUUGGAUUGGGUUUGGUUUAAUUGUGUAGGUUGGCUAUUGGGUUUGGAUUCAGGUUUAACAUGGACUGGUUUCAUUUUGAUUUGGAUUU